GCUUUUAACAAUCCAUGCUUACUUCAUCUUUUAUUCUAGCACUCGUAUGGCUGAGCUUUGCUUUAAAUAUUUUGAUAUUUGAAACAACUUGGCUAAUUGGUAUCUCUGUCUUUCAAGUUUCAACUUACUAUUAAAUUUGCUUCAGUAUUCAGCAUCAUAUAUUUUACUUGAUGACAAUGAAACAGUCUGUUGUAAUAUAUGUUGAUUUUGUUAUCCUCUAUUACUUUAAUGUAGUGCGUGUAUAACACAAUAGUUGUCUGAUUUAAACUUCUUCACUUUCAGUCAUUUCAUGUCAUUUCUUCUUAACUGCAAGCGUGCAUAAGAACUUAAUGCUACUUGCUGGAUAGAUACCUGAAAUUUGUGAGAAAAUCAUUGUAAGCUUCUUGCGAAUUUGACUAGGUUUACAAAGGAUUUUAUCCAUUCUGUUGUUAGGAGCGUGGCUAGGUUUACAGAGUAUUUUUAUGUGAAUUUCAAUCUGGUGAUUCUUUUCUUCUGUCUUUUUUUUGUUUUUCUCUCUCAACUUUAUUUAAUAAUUUGUUUUUAGUAGACUUUUGUAUUUUUGAUUGUCAUGUAAGGUAGCCAGGGAUGGUUCUUAAAGAGAGAUUAAAAAAGGGUAAUUUCUUUGAUUUGUUACAUGAUAUCAGAAUCUGAGUGAUUGGUAAGUAUCUUCGGUAUGAUAGGAACAAAUUUCUCUUGCAGGUGCUUUAUCGAAAGUGCGCUGCUUCAAUCUCGUCAGAUAAGACAAACCAAAAUUUUCAGUAUCUGGGUUAUAGUUGAAAAAGAAGCUUGGAUUGCAUGAGCAAGUUAUAGCCUUUUGUUUAGAAGCCCCCACAUAAACUGUUAACGAGCACGAGACGAAUUCUGGAGUGGUAAGUUUAAACUGAGAGGAUAAUAUCUUUGGAGCAGUCAUAAAAUGGCUCAACGAUGAUUUAUUUGUCAAGCAUGACAAGUAGUUCCGACUAGAGCCUCGAUUACGACUACCCAAUAUUUCUUGCUUUUGCAAAUGAAGAGCACCACUCUACCUUGAUUUGAAACGGAAUUCAGACCUGUUUUUGCAAGCAUUCAAAGAAAGAACUUUUGCAUUCAAGGGGAAAGUUGAACUUUUUCAUGCAAAGAUCUCUCGUCGGACUCCGAUUGCGCUAUAACAUAACGGAAGGCUUUUAGAUUUGGUCGUAGAGCCAGCUCUCAAACUCAUGGAGCAAGUUAGGGGUGUGAAACUGCUAAACAGAGUAACCGAAUCAAACCAAUGGUUAGGUCUGGUUUAGAUUUUCUUUAUCAUUUUGAAGAAAAAAAAAACUGGUUGGGUUUUGGGUCAAUAUGGUAGGAACUAGGAACUGCAUUAUUUUGAUUCAUUAUUUUGAUUAACUUUCAGUUCUGAUCAUGAGAAACGGCUUAAAACAAACCAGCCGGUUAUAGUAUGUCAUUUUUUUAAACCAAACCGGCCUUAGUCCCAGUGGUUUGAUCUUAGCUCAUUGUACUUGACACUGGAAGGUUAACGUGCACAUUACCACGUGAUGAAGCACAGGAUAGCAUGAAGGCAAUGGACGAGGGCUACAUAAUUGUUUUGCCCUCCAUGCGCCAUUCCAAUCCAAAUCGGGACCAAUUGCUCUUCUCCUUCUCUCCUCCUCUCUUCCACUUGUCGGUGACUCCAAAACCAACGGAGUCGAAGUGCAAACUAAACCCUAAGGAUCAGAUACCUCUUCCAUUCCCUCCAUCGAAUCCUCGAUUUGAAGCCAAGACUGAUCUCGAUCUUGACCUCUCUUGUCGAUUUGAGAUCACCGGAUCCCUGAUCUAUUAAAGUCUGAGGAAAUAAAAUAUAUUCUCCGUCCAGGUGCACAAAUUAUUGAGUUUAUGGUGCCUCGUGAGUCUCUUGGAAUGCUGCUUCUCAACGUUCUCAGAUUUUAGUGGAAUAUUCUUCUUCCAGGUGUGCAAAUAAAGUAAAUUAUUCUUCCAGCUGUGCAAAUUAUUGAGUUUAUAGUGCCUCGUGAGUCUAUUGAAAUGCUGCUUCUCGACAUUCUCAGAUUUUUGUAGAAUACAUAAACUUUAAUUCAAAAAAAAAGAGUAUGGAAUCAGAAUCCAUAACUUUCUUUACAUUUGAAGUUAUUGGAUCAAAAUUGCCAAAUAUUAUAACUUAUCUGAAUAUCAUCGAAUAUUUACAUUC